rnacentral:snRNA from 3 species
GUGCUCCCUCCCGCAGCGUACGUACUAAAAUUGGAAAGAUACAGAGAAGAUGAGCAUGGCCCCUGCACAAGGAUGACAGGCAAAUUCAUGAAGGGUUCCUUAUUUUA